AUGAUUCUAAGAAUUUAGAGGUAUUAGCAGAUUGAUCAAGAUUUGGAAGAGUGAGAAAGAAAGAGAAUAAAACAGCUCCUGAUGAAAAGAAAAGGUAAGAUAAGAGAUUGAAUUGUUUAGCAACAUCAUGUGCAUCAGUUGAAAACAUGCUGAAGACUAAUGCAAUAAGGUGUGUUUUUGAAAUGAGUGAUUUCACUUCUUCAAUGAGAAAUGGAACUGAGUUUUUAACAAUGAGUUUCAUUUGUGUUGCAGGUUCAAUUGGAAGGUCUUGUUGAAUGUUGUUGAGUUGAGGAAGAACAGUGAAGUUCAUGUUUGGUGGAAGAGUGUUUAAGAUGGAUUGCAUGGAAGAAGAUAAAGGACCAAAUGUUGGAAUGAGGAAUGUGAUGAUG
rnacentral:lncRNA from 1 species